CCUUUCUCUCAUCUAUCAUCUCUCCUCUCUCCUCUCUCCUCUCUCCUUUUCAUCUUCAUCACCAUCAUCACCCAUAAAUCAGAAAAUCAGAGAGAUCAACAUUCAACCAUCUUCAACCCCUCCAAAACCACCGAAUGUAAACCGAAAUUGGCAAUGAAGUCACGAAUUUCCGACACAAGAAUCAUUCUUCAAACAGCAAUUGCAUCAAGACUCAUCCACUAGUUGCAAAAAUAUUCCAAUAUCAAGUGAACCCAUGGUGUCAAAUGAUCAUGUAAAAAUACCUACUGAUGGAACUGAUGUAUGGGAAAUUGAUGCAAAGCUGCUGAAAUUCGAAAAUAAAUUCGCAUCUGGUACUUUUGGCGAUCUGUAUAAAGGCACAUAUUGUAGUCAAAAAGUGGCUAUUAAAGUUCUUAAACCAGAAUAGAUGCAGAUAUGCUAAGAGAAUUCUCUCAGGAAGUAUUUAUUAUGAGGAAUAUUAGACACAAGAACAUUGUUCAAUUUAUUGGAGCAUGUACAGAACCUACAAAACUCUGCAUAGUAACUGGAUCCAUAAGGUAGUUAACUAGUGGAUUACGACACAGAUAUGGUUAGAUUCAGUGGGUCUCGAUUCAGUCUCAGGUCCGACGUGGUUCGGUUUGGGUUAACAACAGUGGUGGCGGUGUUAUACAACUCAGAUUAGGUUUGUUUGACACCGGGUUUUGUCGGGUUUUCGGCUCGGUUUCGAGUCUCGAUCAAAGCUGGUCAGCCGCGGUUCGGGUGUGGUUCGACGGGUCAGUGGUGGUGUCGUCGGUGUCGGAGGUGGUGGCUGUGUGAGGAUUGACGGUGGUGGUGGGUUUUGACGGCGAUUAUGUGGGUUUGGGGUUGUUUAAUAAUUGAUAAUUGUGAUUGGUUUAUUGUUGUAUUUUGAAAAAUGUUUAUUUUUUACAACCGUAAAAAGGUGUUUGUAAAAAAUGUUUUUUCACAACCGUAAAUGUUUUUUUUGUAAAAAAUGUUU